GAGGACUUGACCUGGAAUGGUACCCUGGAGCAGCACAUUACCUUCCUCCCCAUCGGCAACCACAGGCUGUUUUGAAACUGUCAAAGUCUCAUUCUCACUUCCAGCUGAGUUAGAAGAGGACAUUUGACAAUCAGAGGGCUGGUGUAUGUCUCGGCUGCUAUUUUCCAUUUUCUCCAGCAGCUGUUUCUACUUCCAGCUGAGAAAAAAUUAUUUUGGAAAUACUUCAACCA
rnacentral:lncRNA from 1 species